rnacentral:tRNA from 1 species
GGAGCAGUAGCAGAGUGAUGAUGCUUGGGUGUGGAGUUGAGAAGGGCAUGGGUUCAAAUCCCCUCUGCCCCC